GGAAAGGAAGCUCCAUUGUUUCCAAGAACCCUGUCUGGAGGAGUCACACAAAUUUAGACAUUUCUUCCUCUGAUGUCCAUGCACCGUGAUUGUCUGAGGAAGAAGAGAAGUCCUUGAGGUAGCCACCAGGACACUUUAUGGCUCUUUGUAAUGUCAUUCACCGAUGCUCCUACCCUGGGUGGACUCUUCCUAACAUCAUCACCUUCUUCCGAUUCUCCCAGGAAUGUAUGCGGUAGUCAUUUAGGGAGAACCUUCUGAGCUACAGCAAA
ensembl:misc_RNA